rnacentral:tRNA from 1 species
CUGCAGAUGGUCGAUGCGGGCUACCAGUGUGCGCUGUUGGCGCCCACUGAGGUGCUUGCCGCACAACAUGCGCGUUCGAUUCGCGACGUGCUGG